rnacentral:rRNA from 1 species
UACGUAGGGGGCAAGCGUUAUCCGGAAUCAUUGGGCGUAAAGCGCGUGUAGGCGGUUCCGUAAGUCCGCUCUGAAAGCCCAGGGCUCAACCCUGGGAGGCGGGUGGAUACUACGGAACUGGAGUACGGAAGAGGAGAUUGGAAUUCCUGGUGUAGCGGUGAAAUGCGUAGAGAUCAUGAGGAAGACCAGUGGCGAAGGCGGGUCUCUGGACAGUUCCUGACACUGAGACACGAAGGCCAGGGAGCAAACGGG